GUUUUAACAUGCGUUUUCUUAGUAGAGAGGACCUCCAAGAUGGUGGAACUGCAUUUGUGGAAUCAUCCUAAUGAUUAGUGCUAAUUAGACUUGUGAUUUCACCAUGAUAUCAGAGACCUAGAUGCCCCCGCAGAGUAAAGAAAAUUCUCUUCCACCACUGCACAUUCAUGAAAAUCAUGUCCUAUGAGAGUCAACUAAAGAAGUUACAAAGAAA
rnacentral:lncRNA from 1 species